AGCCAACGAUUACAAUCAAUGAAUAUAAAAACACUAAGCUAUACAUCACUAUGAAUCUGCAACUUCCACCAUGGAUGUGUAGUAAAGCUUAGAAUGAAGUAAUGAACGAGAUGAUAAAGUAGAAGAGAAAGAAGAAGGUUCUAGAAGAAUAGACAAGAGAAUUCUAAUCAAAUGACUGUCGAUCCCAAUUUCUGUAAAAUCUAAUUAUAGAAUUAGCUGAGCUGUAGCUGAGUUAUCUUCCUUAAUAAUUAGGCUAAUCUCCAUCAUUGUUUUAUUAUUAUAUUUAUCGUUCCCUAUUAAUAUCUGCCGACCCCAUUUCUCAACUGUUGCUCUAAUUUGCCAACACGUGUCCGCACUAACACUACCACAUUUGCCUAUUGCGAUCCCUAAUUACAACCCUAAUUUUCAUUUCUUCCCUCUCUUAUUCCAAUUACACUCAUCGGAUAUAACAAUUCCCUACUCCUUUGAAAUUGACCUUAUUCUCAAGGUCGAUCAUGAGCCACGAGUUGGGGAAAUUUACUGCAAAUAUAGCUCUAAUCUUCCUAAGUAGAAUCAUUUGCUGACAUUUAGACCAGUGCACAGGCACUUUGAUGGCUGUUGCGUUAUUAACUCUAAUGAUGCGCCGCCGUAAGAUUGCAAAGGGUUCUACCAAGAUGCCACCUUCAUUGUCGCAAGAAGGGGGUUGCUGCUGGGAAACUAUAACAGGUACGAUCCGACGCUUCAACUGUGAUACAUGGAAGACAGGGUGGAUCUGAGACCCUGUUGGUAACUCCAAACGGUGAAAAAAGAUUCAUGUGAAAUAUGUAUAGGGAUGGCACCAGGGCGAAUGCGAGGCGGGAAGGUUUGGAGCUAUGCGGAAAAGGGGCGAAUUUGGAUAUUUGAGGGGCAGGACAGAUUGCAAUUUUUGAAAAUCUGUUGCGGAGGGGAUUGUUUUAGAUUUUUGUUGUGGAUUACAUAUCUUGGAUAAGAGAACUGAUAUUUUCUUAAUUUGCUUAUUACAUUACAUGAAUAUAAAUUUCAAAAAUUUGAAGACUUA